rnacentral:rRNA from 1 species
UACGUAGGGGGCAAGCGUUGUCCGGAAUCAUUGGGCGUAAAGCGCGUGUAGGCGGUCCGGUAAGUCCGCUGUGAAAGUCGGGGGCUUAACCCUCGGAUGCCGGUGGAUACUGUCGGGCUUGAGUCCGGAAGAGGCGAGUGGAAUUCCUGGUGUAGCGGUGAAAUGCGCAGAUAUCAGGAGGAACACCGAUGGCGAAGGCAGCUCGCUGGGACGGUACUGACGCUGAGGCGCGAAAGCGUGGGGAGCAAACAGG